rnacentral:rRNA from 1 species
CACGGAAACGUGAGCUAAUACCGGAUAUCUCAUUUCCUCUCCUGAGGGGAUGAUGAAAGACGGAGCAAUCUGUCACUUGCGGAUGGGCCUGCGGCGCAUUAGCUAGUUGGUGAGGUAACGGCUCACCAAGGCGACGAUGCGUAGCCGACCUGAGAGGGUGAACGGCCACACUGGGACUGAGACACGGCCCAGACUCNUU